UACGGAGGGGACUAGCGUUGUUCGGAAUUACUGGGCGUAAAGCGCACGUAGGCGGAUCUUUAAGUCAGAGGUGAAAUCCCAAGGCUCAACCUUGGAACUGCCUUUGAUACUGGGGAUCUUGAGUCCGGGAGAGGUGAGUGGAACUGCGAGUGUAGAGGUGAAAUUCGUAGAUAUUCGCAAGAACACCAGUGGCGAAGGCGGCUCACUGGCCCGGUACUGACGCUGAGGUGACGAAAGCGUGGGGAGCAAACAGG
rnacentral:rRNA from 1 species